rnacentral:rRNA from 1 species
UACGGAGGGUGCAAGCAUUAAUCGGAUUGAUUGGGCGUAAAGGGCGCGUAGGCGGCCCGCUAAGUCGAACGUGAAAUCCCCAGGCUCAACCUGGGAACUGCGUCCGAUACUGGCAGGCUUGAAUCCGGGAGAGGGAUGUGGAAUUCCAGGUGUAGCGGUGAAAUGCGUAGAUAUCUGGAGGAACACCGGUGGCGAAGGCGGCAUCCUGGACCGGUAUUGACGCUGAGGCGCGAAAGCUAGGGGAGCAAACGGG